CCCUUAGAUGUCCGGGGCCGCACGCGCGCUACACUGAAGGAAUCCGCGUGGCUUUCUCCCUGACCCGAAAGGGUUGGGAAACCCGUUGAAUCUCCUUCGUGAUAGGGAUUGGGGCUUGAAAUUGUUCCCCAUGAACGAGGAAUUCCCAGUAAGCGCGAGUCAUAAGCUCGCGUUGAUUACGUCCCUGCCCUUUGUACACACCGCCCGUCGCUACUACCGAUUGAACGGUUUAGUGAGGGCCUCGGAUUGGUCUCGGCCCGCUCUUUACCGGGCGGCGCCGUUGGUCGAGAAGACGCUCGAACUUGAUCGUUUAGAGGAAGUAAAAGUCGUAACA
rnacentral:rRNA from 1 species